AGCGAACGCUGGCGGCGUGCCUAACACAUGCAAGUCGAACGUGAAAAGGGAAACCUGAGUAAAGUGGCGUACGGGUGAGUAACGCGUAGGUAAUCUACCCCAGAAUCUGGAAUAACCUGCCGAAAGGCGGGCUAAUACUGGAUAGAGCGAGGGAACUCGUAAGAGAGUUUUUCGGGAAAGGGAGCCCGCAAGGGCCUUCGUUCUGGGAUGAGCCUGCGUCUCAUUAGCUAGUUGGUAAGGUAACGGCUUACCAAGGCGAUGAUGAGUAGCUGGUCUGAGAGGAUGAUCAGCCACACUGGAACUGAAACACGGUCCAGAAUCCUACGGGAGGCAGCAGUGGGGAAUCUUGCGCAAUGGAAGAAAGUCUGACGCAGCCACGCCGCGUGAGUGAAGAAGGCCUUCGGGUUGUAAAGCUCUGUCGGAUGGGACGAACAUCUUCAUAGUGAAUAGCUAUGAGGACUGACGGUACCAUCAAAGGAAGCACCGGCUAACUCCGUG
rnacentral:rRNA from 1 species